rnacentral:rRNA from 1 species
UACGUAGGGGGCAAGCGUUGUCCGGAAUCAUUGGGCGUAAAGAGCGUGUAGGCGGCUCGAUAAGUCUGCUGUGAAAGUCCAGGGCUCAACCCUGGAAGGCCGGUGGAAACUGUCGGGCUAGAGUCCGGAAGAGGCGAGUGGAACUCCCGGUGUAGCGGUGGAAUGCGUAGAGAUCGGGAAGAACACCAGUGGCGAAGGCGACGUGCUGGGUUGCACCUGACGCUGAGAUGCGAAAGUGUGGGGAGCAAACGGG